rnacentral:rRNA from 1 species
UACAGAGAGUGCGAGCGUUAAUCGGAAUCACUGGGCGUAAAGCGCGCGUAGGUGGAUAUUCAAGUCGGGUGUGAAAGCCCCGGGCUUAACCUGGGAAUAGCAUUCGAUACUGAAUAUCUAGAGUAUGGUAGAGGGAAGUGGAAUUUCCGGUGUAGCGGUGAAAUGCGUAGAUAUCGGAAAGAACAUCAGUGGCGAAGGCGGCCUGCUGGGCAGUUUAGCUGACACUGAGGCGCGACAGCGUGGGGAGCAAACAGG